rnacentral:rRNA from 1 species
GACGAACGCUGGCGGCGUGCUUAACACAUGCAAGUCGAGCGGUAAGGCCCUUUCGGGGUACGACGAGCGGCGAACGGGUGGAGUAACACGUGGGUGACCUCGCCCUCCAGCUCUGGGAGUAAGCCUGGGAAACGUAGGGUCGUAAUACCGGAUAUGACUCCAUGACGCAUGUUGUGGGGUGGAAAGCCUUGUGCGGCUGAGGAUGGGCCCGCGGCCUAUCAGCUUGUUGGUGGGGUGANGGCCUACCAAGGCGACGACGGGUAGCCGGCCUGAGAGGGCGACCGGCCACACUGGGACUGAGACACGGCCCAGACUCCUACGGGAGGCAGCAGUGGGGAAUCUUGCGCAAUGGGCGAAAGCCUGACGCAGCGACG